UCCCGGAAAACACUGAUAGAGAGCGGGCACCCAGCGAGGAACCGGACAGGCCUGCAGCUCAGGCAGGCCCGGAAGUGCACAGCCGCCUUCAGCUGAGCUCUAGGUUCUGUGUAGGGGGCUGGGCUUCCUGGCCUCUGGGGUCCCUAGCAGCCCUCCAGUUCUGUGAGUCUGCGAAAGCCUUCAGGGCAGGGCUCCGCACAACCUGCCCUUGCUAAUUCACGCAGCCGGCAGGGCCUGGGGUUUAGGGAGAAGAUGGGUUCAAAGCUGAGGAUAGUCUGGGGAUCACUGUACUCAUGGAAUAUAACAACCCCCAAAAUGAUGCCUAAAGCCUCUUUUUCUACAUAUCCAGCUUCUGGAAAAGAGAGGGUGACUUUGCCAGUCAACUGCCAGCUCCCCAGCCAUCAGCCUGACCCGAAUCUCCCCAAGCAUGAGUGUUUCCACCUGCCCAAGAGACAGUACUAACUUCGACCUGAUGGAACAGCGCUACAAUCACAUGUCCACAUCUGACCAUAGCGGAGCAUCUUUAUUUAACCUUACCCUCUUCCUGAGUUUCGUUGUGUCAUUUGACUGAAACAAAAAUCACAGGUUUGUAAGUGAGAUAAGAACAUUGUGGUUGCAUCCCUAUUUAAUAGGGUUCUAACCCUAUUCCCAGUGUCAAAUUCAUUGUAACAAUAUUACCUUAAUCAUGCAAGAGAAAUGUAAAAAACAAAGAUGAUUUUGUAUUGUAGCACUUAACGUAAAUACUUUAACUAUGUGUGAUGAAAAGCUAGAGCUUGAGAUAAUUGAAAAGGAGCCUAAAAUAUAGCUCUAGUGAUGGACUGCAAAGUAGCAUCAAAAGAAGCUUCUAACCACAACACAACAGCUACAUUUUGCAUUAUUGCCCAUGGCCUGUCCCUGACUUUUAUUAAAAAUAUCCAUGAUAAAAUCUUAGUCUUAGCCAUAAUAGAGACAUCCAAUGACAAAUGAGAGACCAAGGUAUCGCUUUGACUAAUGCAGCUACUGGUCAGAUUGAUAUGGACUAAUAUUAACUGGAAGAUUAGUAUCUGUGAUGGUGCAAUCUUUAAAAACAGAGAGGAAAAUAGGUGGUGAUUUGUGGCUUUGAUUUGCAGUGACUGUGUAUGAGUAAUCUGCAUAGUUUAUAUUUAUUCCUGAUUCACCGUACACAAUGUAGGAAAGCCCUGUGAUGUCAGAUUUAAGUGUUUACAUAAGUUUUCACAAAACAAAGAGAAAGCAAGUUCAGGCCUAGUGACUAGAAAAUAAUUAAUUUAGGGAGUAACCUUGAAGUCCUUAUUCAAUCCUUAAUCAGGCAAAAGUCUUAGACACCACUGAAGUCAAGUAGAAUAUUUAUCAUUGACUUCAAGGGGAACAGUAUUUCGUUCUCAGACUUCAAGACUUGACCCUUACUGUAGGAAGGAUGCAAGAGGGAGUUGCCAUAAAAGAUGCUCAUGGGAGAGAACAGGGUUAGGAGGAGAUAUCUCAGGAAGUGGGACUUAUUGUUAAGGCUGUCAUGGAAGUCACAGAUUCCAUGACUUUCUGGGACCUCUGUGACUUCCGCCGCUGCAGUGGCCAGUGUGGCUCACCCCAGAGCCGCCUGAGCAGCUGGACCAGGGCUGCCCCAGGGCCAGCCACACUGGCUGCUGCUCAUGCAACCCCAGGCCUCCCGCCACACCCCCAGGAGCAUCUAAGAUUUAGUCAGGGAUAUUUAUAGUAAAAGUCAUGGACAGGUCACAACCAUGAAUUUUUGUUAGUUGCCCGAGACCUGUCUAUGACAUUUACUAAAAAUACCUAUGACUAAAGCUUAGCUUUACUCACUGUAUAUAUCCUUGUUGAGACGUAAGCAUCAAUAAAUAUGCUGACUAAUAAUAGCUAGAUUCAGGGACAAUUGAAGGUACUUAUAUUAAAGCUAAUGUUAAAAUUAUCUAAUACACAGGUUAAGGAAAGAGUGUCUAUACAUUUAGGUAUAAUGUUUACGUUAUCCAAAAGUACAAAGUUUGUUUAAAAGUCAUUAAAUACAUAUAGUACAUAAUUUGCAAUAUCCCAAUAUAAGGUUAAUACAUUUAAUUAUACAUGGGAUGACCAUAUUUCCCUAUGCUGAAUAUGGGACACCUGGAAAAAUUACUAAUAUUCAAGUGAGUUCAAUGGCAAUCAAUCAGAAGUAUGCAGUACAAAUAUUCUAAUUAACAUCUAGUUGACUGAGCCCAUUAAAAAGAAAUACUACGUAGUAGGAUUCUUUUUAUUUACCUUCUUAUCUUUAAAGCUUUAGGGUUCACACAGGGAGAGGUGACAUACACGAACUCCCAUGCACCUCUCUCACACAUGGAGGGUGGCCAACCGACCCAACUCUCCCUGUCCAGCGCUCUCUGCCCUCCAUGCCUGGCUGGGCCCAGGAUGGACCUGCCUCUCCUGGUACCUGAUGCCGCGUCUUCCCAAGGCAAGACGUUGAGGGACACGUAGGGUCAGAUGCCUCCAUCUCCAGAUUUCUGCCAGGGUUCACACCAGAAUGUGGCCAGCAGCAGCCGCCUUUCAGCAUUGUGUGAUUAAAA